rnacentral:rRNA from 1 species
CCUACGGGUGGCAGCAGUGAGGAAUAUUGGUCAAUGGGCGCUAGCCUGAACCAGCCAAGUAGCGUGCAGGAUGCCUGCCCUCUGGGUUGUAAACUUCUUUUAUAUGGGAAUAAAAUGCAGUAUGUAUACUGCUUUUCAUGUAUCUUAUGAAUAAGGAUCGGCUCACUCCGUGCCAGCAGCCGCGGUAAUACGGAGGAUCCGAGGGUUAUCCGGAUUUAUUGGGUUUAAAGGGAGCGUAGGCGGGUUGUUAAGUCAGUUGUGAAAGUUUGCGGCUCAACCGUAAAAUUGCAGUUGAUACUGGCAGCCUUGAGUACAGUAGAGGUAGGCGGAAUUCGUGGUGUAGCGGUGAAAUGCUUAGAUAUCACGAAGAACUCCGAUUGCGAAGGCAAGCUUCUGGACUGUAACUGACGCUGAUGCUCGAAAGUGUGGGUAUCAAACAGGAUUAGAUACCCCAGUAGUC